AAGGGCAGACAAACUCCAGGAUGUUAAGUUACAAGAACUACUCCUAGAGAAAAACAGUAAAUGCAGGAAAGAAAGAUGUAGGAAACUAAGAGUGGUCUUUUGUUCGCAGAGGCAAAGACCUCUUUUUAGGGUAUUAUUAUCUUAUUUAUAAAUAACCCCCUCGGUCAGUUAUUGCUCUUACACGAUCGGCCACUAUCUCCUCAUAUUCCGAACCACAUCUAGCCGAUCGAAACCACAUGUAACUGCUUACGGUUAUCGUAACUUCUUCAAUUGGCACGAUUU
rnacentral:lncRNA from 1 species